rnacentral:lncRNA from 10 species
ACUGUGUCUGUAUCUGGGAUCAGUUGCGAAGCAGAAGUAUGACGUGACUAAGGCCACCGCUGGGUUAGGAUACCCCCAUCCAAGAUUGAGAGCUGUACUAGCCUGGCAUGCAGACAGCAGCUUUAGAAUCAGAUCUGCCUUCUGGCGGCUUCCCACCUAGGAGCCAUGGGACCUUUGUGAAGUCACCAAUUGUGCUGUGGAUGCUUCAUUUGUGAAGGAGAACAGGACUGCCUUAUGAGGAAACUGAGGUACAGAUGGGAAACUUGCUCAAGUUCACACAGCAAUUAAGUGAUCAAGUCCAAGAGCAAAACCAGGCAGGCUGGCUCCAGAGCUCACGAUAGUCCACCACUGCUUUCCACCAUCACUACGGAAUCAAGUCCAUGAGGAUACUCACCUUAUGUCAGUUGCCUAAGUUGGAAAUUAUAGAAUCUUCAAAUUGGAAGGGACGUUAUCAUCCAAGAUUUCAACUUUCUACUCACUGCAAAAUCCCUUCUGGAACUUCCCAGAUUGAUGAAUUUUCAUCAGCUCUGCUUGAGUACUCCCAGUGACUUGGAAAAAAAACACUGUAAUAUGGAUAUGAAAUAUAAACUGUUCAUGGAUAAAUUAUUGCAUAAUAAAAACAUGCCUAAUGGCUACACUCCCCUAAUAUGUUCAUUUGACUUCCCAGGAUUUAGCAACCAGGGCCUGGAAGGCAGACAAAGGUAACUGGCCCCAUGUGAUAAAAACAG